ensembl:snRNA U6 U6 spliceosomal RNA
GUGCUCACCUCAGCAGCACAUAUACUAAAACCGGGAUAAUACAGAGAUUAGCAUAGCCCCCGUGCAAUGAUGACAAGCGUAUUCAUGAAGCAUUCCAUAUUUUC